CUACCUAAUUAUCAAACCAUCUCAUUCAACUUUGAGCAAAAGUAAAAGGGAUUGAAGAAGAUGGAUGAAGAAAUCACUCUUCCUUCAGGUAAAUCUUCGUGGCCGGAACUCGUAUUCAUCGAAUCCUCCAUUGCAGUACGUCUUAUAAAGAAAGAUAAUUCUCAUGUAAAGACAAUCGUACUAUUAGCUGGGUCUGGAGUUACUAAAGAUUUCAGACUCGAUCGAGUUCGAGUUUUUGUUAAUAUAAAUGAUAAGGUAGUUGAAGUUCCUCAAGUUGGUUGAAAUUUGAAUAUCUAUAUUUGAAACAAGUAAGACUAAUUAAAUAAGGUAGAAUCUACCUUUCUACCGUAAUAUUUGAAUUAUAGGUAUGGUUUAUUUGAAUGUUUGUAUGCCAUUUAAAUAUUUGUAUGCACAUGGGAGCAACUUUUCUUUAAUGGCUUAAAGUUUUAAUUUUAACAUGAAUAAUUCCGAUUCAUCUAGUAUUCUAUUAUGGAUUGUAAUGUUAUCUUCGUCAUUAAAAAUAAAUUAUCUAUUAGACCUUAUAAUGUUAUUAUCAUCAAAA